rnacentral:sRNA from 1 species
UCGAGAGGUGGUCCAAGGUUACAUA